rnacentral:rRNA from 1 species
UACGGGAGGCAGCAGUAGGGAAUCUUCCGCAAUGGACGAAAGUCUGACGGAGCAACGCCGCGUGAACGAUGAAGGCUUUCGGGUCGUAAAGUUCUGUUGUUAGGGAGAACAAGUACCAGAGUAACUGCUGGUACCUUGACGGUACCUAACCAGAAAGCCACGGCUAACUACGUGCCAGCAGCCGCGGUAAUACGUAGGUGGCAAGCGUUGUCCGGAAUUAUUGGGCGUAAAGCGCGCGCAGGUGGUCCUUUAAGUCUGAUGUGAAAGCCCACGGCUCAACCGUGGAGGGUCAUUGGAAACUGGGGGACUUGAGUGCAGAAGAGGAAAGUGGAAUUCCACGUGUAGCGGUGAAAUGCGUAGAGAUGUGGAGGAACACCAGUGGCGAAGGCGACUUUUCUGGUCUGUAACUGACACUGAGGCGCGAAAGCGUGGGGAGCGAACAGGGAUUAGAUACCCGU